GGUUUACCAACAUAGCUAACUGCAAACACGACGUGUCGGUAUAGUUAGUGAGAUCUGCUCACUGAUGGGCAAUAAAAAUUUAAAACCCAUUGAAGAGCCGCGGUAACUCUGACCGUGCUAAGGUAGCAUAAUCAAUCGCCUCUUAAUUGGAGGCUGGAAUGAAAGAAGUAACGAACUUCCCCCUGUCUCGGGCACAGGCCGAUCGAAGUUUAGAACCUCGUUAAGACGCGAGGAAGCCUUGAUUAGACGAGAAGACCCCGUCGAGCUUUACUUCAACCCGGCGAUUCCUAAGCCCUAAUUCGUGGGCAAAAUUUAGCCGGGGAAGAAGUUUAGUUGGGGCGACUGUCCGGAAGCUAGAAACCCGGGUGAACAAAGGUUAAUCCGAAAGAAGCGCGCUUUAUCGGGGGAGGGACAUCUUCCUCGAUCACAGGAAUGUGAGUCUUAAUGACCCGCCCCCUGUUGGGGGCGAUAUCGAAUAAAAGCUACCGCGGGGAUAACAGGGUCAUCCAAUCCUAGAGCUCCCAUCGAAGAUUGGGUUUGCCACCUCGAUGUUG
rnacentral:rRNA from 1 species